AACUUUGUAGCUCAGCCGGUAGAGCACUUGGUAUAUGAGGGCAUGUUUAAGAUCAUUUGGCCGGUUCAAACCCAGCCAAAGUUC